UCCUAACUAACAUACUUUUAUAACAUUUUAAAUAACUAAUUUAACUAAUACUAUUAACAUACUGAAGCUAUUCUACCAGAAUUCACCCUGUUUGCACUCUGUAUCCCUAUGUCUCUCUUUGUCGCUUUGUGUCUCACUGUGGAUGGGCGAAGCCUGCUUGCUUGCUUGGCCUUGCAGCUGCAGAGAUAAAGACGUCAUCGGAGGCGGGCUCUACUCAGAACAGCUAGUAUGAGAGAAAAUGAGUGAACGACAUGUAACCCAUGAACGAUGUGUAACCUGUGUUGACUGUAUAAACCCCUGAACUUUGUUUAAACCUCUGAACUUGUGAUACGGUGAAAAGUUCGUACCCUUGGCAGCAAUAUUGCUGACUUGCGAAGAUAAGACCGAACAACGAUCCUUUCACGCCACCUGUGUGUUUGAAGUUGCCAAAUGUUGUGUCAGCAUCUAAGAAGGGGUAUAAAUGUUUGUUCGGGAGUGCGAUCGUGCGAUCCACUCAGGCUAUGCGCUAUGUAGUCAUUAAAGGAAUUUUACACGGAACUCUGCCAGACUUUUGCGCCUUCUUUUUGGGAUACGUUUUUGACUUCAGCACUUAUAAUGGCGUAUUUUUGUUACAUUGUAGGCAAGAUAUUUGGAUAUUCUUCAAAUCUCUGAAUAUCUGAUACGACAUUCACUAAUUCACGGAUGGGAUAAAUGCAGAGACCAAAUUCCUUGUAUAGUGUGCAUUUACGUAAGGUGCAUGAUGCCAGGAGAACUACAGGAUCCUCUUACCCAAGGUGUUCAUACUGUGGAGCGUUUUAGGAAGAGACUUCUGUCUGUCUGUGUCCACCAUUCUGACCUUUCUCAGGGAGUCUUUCUGAGUGAAAGACAGAAAAAUUCUGACUUCAGAAGCAUUUCCCUGCAAUGAAGAUUACUGGGCAUGAAGUACAAGUUGCAUGUUGAUGCUGAUGAUGUUAAAGGAAUGAAACUGCUCUGGCUAAGAGAUGACCAAUGAUGCCUCACAAAUUGAGGGGAAACUGGGUGAGUUCAUCAGGGAAACUGGCUACUGGGCCAUUCAUAUCAUGGCCAGUUGUUUGCACAUGCACACAGAGAAAUAAAGCCGGAUUGGUCCUAAAAA